rnacentral:rRNA from 1 species
AGAGUUUGAUCCUGGCUCAGAUUGAACGCUGGCGGCAGGCCUAACACAUGCAAGUCGGGCGAGAAAGCACUUCGGUGUGAGUAGAGCGGCGGACGGGUGAGUAACGCGUAGGAAUUUGCCCAGUAGUGGGGGACAACAUGUGGAAACGCAUGCUAAUACCGCAUACGCCCUAUGGGGGAAAGCAGGGGAUCUUCGGACCUUGCGCUAUUGGAGAAGCCUGCGUCGGAUUAGCUAGUUGGUGGGGUAAAGGCCCACCAAGGCGACGAUCCGUAGCUGGUCUGAGAGGAUGAUCAGCCACACUGGGACUGAGACACGGCCCAGACUCCUACGGGAGGCAGCAGUGGGGAAUAUUGGACAAUGGGCGAAAGCCUGAUCCAGCCAUGCCGCGUGUGUGAAGAAGGCCUUAGGGUUGUAAAGCACUUUCAGUAGGGAGGAAAAGUUAGUCGUUAAUAACGGCUAACCCUGACGUUACCUACAGAAGAAGCACCGCAAACU